rnacentral:rRNA from 1 species
GAUGAACGCUGACAGAAUGCUUCACACAUGCAAGUCUACCAAGAAUCACUUCGGUGAGGAAUGGUGGCGGACGGGUGAGUAACGCGUAAAUAAUCUGCCCUUUAGACUGGGAUAUCCUUUGGAAACGAAGGUUAAUACCGGAUAUUAUGAGAUGGACGCAUGUUCAACUUAUGAAAGCUAAAUGCACUAGAGGGUGAGUUUGCGUCCCAUUAGCUAGUUGGUGAGGUAAAGGCUCACCAAGGCCACGAUGGGUAGCCGGCCUGAGAGGGUGAACAGCCACAAAGAAACUGAGAGACGGUCCUUACUCCUACGGGAGGCAGCAGUGGGGAAUAUUGUACAAUGGACCAAAGGUAUGAUCCAUCAAUUCUGUGUGCACGAUGAAGGUCUUCGGAUUGUAAAGUGCUUUCAGUAGUGAAGAAAAAAAUGACGGUACCUACAGAAGAAGCGCCGGCUAAAUAUGUGCCAGCAGCCGCCGUAA